UACGUAGGGUGCGAGCGUUAAUCGGAAUUACUGGGCGUAAAGCGUGCGCAGGCGGUCCGUUGUGUCCGAUGUGAAAGCCCCGGGCUUAACCUGGGAAUGGCAUGGGAAACUGGCGGGCUGGAGUGCGGCAGAGGGGGGUGGAAUUCCGCGUGUAGCAGUGAAAUGCGUAGAGAUGCGGAGGAACACCGAUGGCGAAGGCAGCCCCCUGGGCCAACACUGACGCUCAGGCACGAAAGCGUGGGGAGCAAACAGG
rnacentral:rRNA from 1 species